AGAUCUGCAAAUUUUUCUAAAUGGUGUUUGACUUUCCUUCAUCCCAUCUUAUGUUAAGGAAAGGAAAGGGUUUUGCAACCAAGCAUUUUGUAGGCAACCACAGGAGGCUCUAGCUUUGUGUAUUCAUGCCUCUCUUCAAGGUCUCAAGGGAGCCAUUUCAGGAUAAAACAUGCCUUCAUAACUGCCUCCUGGAAAGUAAGACCAAUUUGCUUUUAUGCCUGUGGAAUCUUCCUAUCAGUUUGAGGGAGAACGAAUUGUGGGGAGAGAAGCACUUUCCCAGUAGAGCAAAGACAUUCGCGGGGCUAGAAAAGCAGCCUUGCACUGGUACUUCUCAAAUGGAAAGGCCUCAUUUAAAGAGCAUUCACAUCAUAAUAAUACCUCAUAAUUUUCUCUUCUGUUCAUCUAGAAUGACUCUAAUGAUAUCGCUGAUUUUCUGUUUUCAUAAGGUAAGAGUUUGAGAAAGGGAUGGGGUCUAAUAGCUAAUAGAAAAUCUAAGAAAAAGAAAAAAAGAAAAG
rnacentral:lncRNA from 1 species